GAAAGGUGGCAUUUUGGGGGAGAAAAUGUCAAAUUUUGGGGAGAAAAUGUCAUAUUUUGGGGAGAAGAGUCAAAUUUGGGGGAGAAAGGUGGCAUUUUGGGGGAGAAAAAGUCAUAAUUUGGGGAGAAAAGUCGUAAUUUUGGGAAGAAGAGUCAAAUUUGGGGGAGAAAGGUCAAAUUUGGCAAGAAAAUGUCACAUUUUGGGGAGAGAAAAUGUCAUAUUUUGGGGAGAAAAGUGGCAUUUUGGGAAGAAGAGUAAAAUUUUGGGGAGAAAGGUGGCAUUUGGGGAGAGAAACCGUCAUAUUUUGGGGAGAAGAGUCAUAUUUUGGGGAGAAAGGUGGCAUUUUGGGGGAGAAAACCUCAUAUUUUGGGGAGAAAACGUCCUAUUUUGGGGAGAAGAGUCAUAUUUUGGGGAGAAAGGUGGCAUUUGGGGGGAGAAAACGUCACAUUUUGGGGAGAAAAGUGGCAUUUUGGGGACAAGAGUCAUAAUUUGGGGAGAAAAGUGGCAUUUUGGGAAGAAGAGUCAUAUUUUGGGGUGAAAGGUGGCAUUUUGGGGAGAAAGGUGGCAUUUUGGGGGAGAAAACCUCAUAUUUUGGGGAGAAAAGUGGCGUUUUGAGGCAGGAAGAAGUAAAAAAUCAUUUUUUGGGGAUAGCAAAGCCCCAUUUGGGCCAGCAGAGCCCUUUUUUUUUGGGGUAAGAAACGGCGUUUUGGGGUUCAGGCGUCGGCGCUGCUCAUCAGCAUCUCUUUGUCGACGCUGCGACUCCGGCGACCCCAAAACUGGGUGACACCACAGUGGGUGACAACCAGGACAGCCAGCACCAACGUCACCACCAGCAGCAGCGCCAGCAGCA
rnacentral:lncRNA from 1 species